rnacentral:rRNA from 1 species
GACGAACUGUGCAAACGUUAUUCGGAAUCACUGGGCUUGAAGAGUGCGUAGGCGGUUUCGUAAGUAGGGUGUGAAAGCCCCCAGCUCAACUGGGGAACUGCGUCCUAAACUGCGAGGCUGGAGUGAGGUAGGGGUGUGUGGAACUUCCGGUGGAGCGGUGAAAUGUGUUGAUAUCAGGAGGAACACCGGUGGCGAAGGCGGGUCUCUGGGCCGAUACUGACGCUGAGGAGCGAAAGCGUGGGGAGCGAACAGG